GACGAACGCUGGCGGCGUGCUUAACACAUGCAAGUCGAACGGAAAGGCCCUGCUUUUGUGGGGUGCUCGAGUGGCGAACGGGUGAGUAACACGUGAGUAACCUGCCCUUGACUUUGGGAUAACUUCAGGAAACUGGGGCUAAUACCGGAUAGGAGCUCCUGCUGCAUGGUGGGGGUUGGAAAGUUUCGGCGGUUGGGGAUGGACUCGCGGCUUAUCAGCUUGUUGGUGGGGUAGUGGCUUACCAAGGCUUUGACGGGUAGCCGGCCUGAGAGGGUGACCGGCCACAUUGGGACUGAGAUACGGACCAGACUCCUACGGGAGGCAGCAGUGGCGAAUAUUGCACAAUGGGCGGAAGCCUGAUGCAGAAACGCCGCGUGCGGGAUGACGGCCUUCGGGUUGUAAACCGCUUUCGCCUGUGACGAAGCGUGAGUGACGGUAAUGGGUAAAGAAGCACCGGCUAACUACGUG
rnacentral:rRNA from 1 species